rnacentral:lncRNA from 1 species
GUUCCCAGGCCAGGGGUUGAAUCAGAGCUGCCAGCCUAUGCCACAGCCACAGCAAUGCCAGAUCUGAGCCAUGUCUGUGACCUACACCACAGCUCAUGGCAAUACCAUAUCCUUAACCCACUAAAGGAGGCCAGAGAUCAAACCCCCAUGCUUGUGAAUACUAGUUGGGUUUGUAACCUGCUGAGCCACAGCAGGAACUCUCAGUAGUGAAUGAUGUAGCUUUCAGGCAAAAAUGGAUUCAGGUGCUCUGAUAAUGUCACUAGUAUGUCCCGUCCUGACUUUCCAAUCUGCUUCCCUCUGAGUAGGUUUCAUUCUUAGGCUGAGCCCCUUGGGGGACAAAGAUGGUCCCCAGCAGCACCAGUUGUACACUGUCCAGCUAGCGAACCCAGAGGUGUGGGCGUCCCCUUCCCAGGGGUUCCCACAGAAGCCCCAGAGCUGAUGCUCUCUGGCCCAGAAUGAGUCACACACCCAUGCCUGAACCAGCCCCUGUGACUCUGAUGGCCAGGCCAGGGUGGCACAGCAGCCUGACUCAGUGAAGGGGAGUUUGGCACAGGAAACAGCACAAGCAAAAAGCCCAGCCACGUUAAGCUGGAACAGCAGACACAAAGUUCCCUGCUGCUUGGCAAUUCUCGGACAAAGGGCACCAUCUGAAAGGUGUGAUCAGAUCUGCAAUUUGCUGGGCAGCUGGUAGUGGGUCGCUUGGGGAGAGUGGUGACAUUCAGGCCCUCUAGCAUGUUCUCCAAGAAAGAAUGUGCCUCAAGAAGUACCUCCCCCCAGGCCCUUCUUCCUGCCAAAGAGUCCCUUUUCCAGAGAGCAGAAGCUGGUGUGCUCAGUGUUUCAACACAAAUGCCUGGGGGAGGGCUUGCCUGCUUGUCCUGGGUCAUUUGCAAAAAUGAAAGCAAAUCUAUAUAAUCAGUUGCCAGAAAAGUACUUAACUGGCCUGUAUUCAUUCUGCACCAGGAGAGCUGAGAGCUGCAGGACAGAAUGGUCUCACUCCUGUCACAAAACCCCAUUCUGGGCCAGCCCCAGGGCCUGGGGAUUCUCCAGAACUUAACCCCCAGCCUUUCUGCCCUAGCCAGCCCACAAGCAGCUGGAGGGUGGUUGCUGGCAUUGUCUCCUGGACCCCUGAGGGCUGGGCUGGGCCAUGCUGGGAAGUGGUCUGGGCAUUCUGAGGGUCAGGAAUGGCCUUCUCUUAUGUGGCCCCCACAUAACCUCUCCCCAAACCACUCCUCCCCACUGCCUGGGGUUUUGAAUGCAGUUCCCACCUCUUUCUGGCUGGGGUAGGCAGUGUGAUUUUGUCAUGAGCAGCUAGCCACAUGAGGCUGAAUCCCGACUGUGUGGGCAAAGAACUGGUAGCAUGGCUUUCCCCCAGAGUAGGGCUGCUUGGUGCUGGUCUGCACCUGCCUCUGGAGCAGGACAUGGAGCAGAGGGAGAUGUGGGGAUUAGUUACAGUGCUUUCAGCUGCAAGGAACAGAAGGCCCACCUCAAAGGGGCUUAAACAAGAAAGGAGAUGUGCCUCCUGUGCACAGAAGCCCCAAGGUAGGACAGCCCAGGACUGCUCAGUACUGCAGGGGUAUCAAAAGAGACCCAAGCUUCUCUCCCCUUUCAUGCUGCUCACUUCAGUGAGCCAGUUCUCAGGCCAGCUUCCCUCAUGAUCACAAGAUGGCUGCCAUGGUUCUGGCCAUCACAUCCAGCAGGGGAUAGCAUCCAGCAAAGGAGAUCACCUCUUCCUGGACAUGCCUAUUGAAGAGUGAGGGAACUUACCCCAGAGUCACCCUCAUUGAUUUUCUGUCAUGGCUCACUGGACAGAAUUACAUCACACACCCAUUCUUGGUCCAUUUCUAGCAGAGGACACAGGAAAACCACAACGGGCUUACAUGGACUCCCCUGUAGCACAGGAUUCUAAUACUCCAGCAGCAUCUGCUGCACCAGGACAAGGAUGUUCUUCUCACUCAGAGAUAGUGGAGAAGGGAUUGGAAUUCUAGUCCUGUUUUCUCCACCAGUUACUGUCUGACCCUAGAUAAGUCAGGUCCCCUAUCAGUCCCUUACCCGCAGGCAUUCUCUCCUCACAUCUUGCCAAUACAACUCAGAUUUGGCUUGGUGGCAAUAUGCCCAGCCAGGGAAUGGAUCAUGAUUGUGGAAACAGUUGUGGCAACACCUCUGCCCUUUGUUAACUACUUGCCUGGACAGCCUCCACUACAACUCGGGGUAACCAUGGGACCCCAGGCAAGGAGAAAGAAAGAGGACUUUUCUAGAAUCCUUCCGGGAAAGAUUGUUCUCCCCUUUUCUCUCCUCUUUUCUUUCAACUUUCGCACACCAUCAAAUGAGGAUGUGAUGUUUGGAGCUUUGGCAGCCCUCUUGCCAAUGAGGGACAUACCAAGAAACUCUCAGACCCGCCAACCUCAUGCUUUGGCAGUAUGGGGCUCUGGGACAGUCUUAGGACCACAUAGAUUUGUUAUGGAAGUGAAAUAGACUCCUGUUGAAUUAAGCCUCCAUUAUUUCAAUUUUCUUUACUUGCAGCCAAGCAUACCCUAACUGAAACAGAGGCCCGUCUCUUCAUCAGUAACAUGAAAAGAAUGGUUCUGAUGAUGGCGGUCAUUAUCCUCUGGGCUCUCAUGCUCUGUGAUGACGACUCCUCCUAGAAUUCACCCACCGGGUCCCUGAGGAAAACCAGGUUCCUGCUAACUUUCCAUCUGCCCUUGAAAACCUGAGAGGACAACAUGGUGAGAUUGGAAGCAUCCCUGAGCCUUUUCCUAUGCUACCGGGAAACUCCAUCCUUUGGGACCAAAAUUCCCAAAGGACACAGGUGAGGAUCAGUUAAAAUGAUAGAACAUAGAAACCUGAGAACAGUGUCUUAAGCGUAUAGAGUUUGAGAGUUUUUUCCUGAAGGAAUAAGCAGUCCAGAGUUCAAGAGGCCACAGUUGGUCAAGCUGCUAGGGCUGGAAUGAAGUUACCAGGGACCAGGGUCCUUUCAGCUUCACCAUCCUCAGCAGGAGCCACGUCCUCAGGGGCACACGGCAGCUGAUGCCCCAGAGAGGAAUAAGAGGAAGGUGAAGGGCAAAGCUGGAAAGGUCUUCGAUCUGCCAGGAAAGCAGCAGCCAUCCAGGAAAGUCCCACUCGAGGGCCAUCUGUCAUCCUGGGUUCUAUAGCCAUCCUCAGCUUUGAGGGAGAGGAAGGGGAGAGUGGCCAUUGGGGAGACAAUUAGCCACAUGCACCACCAGGCUUGAGGUCAGAAGACCUGGGACUCAGCCCAGCACUGCUUUCUGCCACCUUCUGUGAUCCUGGUGCUCAGUUAAUGGUCUUGAGUCUCAGUGCAUCUCCCAGCACAAAGAAAGAGGCCCUAUGUCAAGUAUCAAAGCCACAGGUGGCCAGUGACUACUGCAUUGGAUGGCACUGGCCUAGUGGCUGUACGACUGGUUGGUAGAGUGGCAGCUGCUGGCAUUAGCCAGAACAAGGAUUCAUCUGGGAGAGAGACAAGCAAAACUGCCAAGCCCUGCUCAGCUGUGGCUGUAAGACAGCUGAGAGUCAAGUUCUCUCCCAAUCAGGGAUCCUCCCUGGACAUAAGGCCAUCUUGACUGUGUUUAUGCAUCUUAGAGUCCAGAGCUGGGGGCUCUGUCCUAGUGGGCAGGAAGGACCUAGAGAAGAGGAGUUGUGGCCACUUUUGGGGGUGGAUAGUAGCUUCUUGGGCUGAGGGUGGAAGAGUCCCAAAGGAACAUGUGAAGACUAAGAAGGAAAUUUUAAAAGCCUGCGCCCAGAGAACAUUCUGACUCUAAAGAGUCAGGUGAGCUCAGACCAGGGAGCCAACUACGGACAGAGUGGGGAAAAGGCUUCAUAUUUGGAAAAUGAACAGAAACGGUUGCACAGGCUUUGGACACAGAGCAUCGGAAACUCCAGGAGGAAUGAAAUCAG